rnacentral:rRNA from 1 species
GGACGGGUGAGUAACGCGUGAGGAACCUGCCUUGAAGAGGGGGACAACAGUUGGAAACGACUGCUAAUACCGCAUGAAGCAUAGGGGUCGCAUGAUUCUUAUGCCAAAGAUUUAUCGCUUCAAGAUGGCCUCGCGUCUGAUUAGCUAGUUGGCGGGGUAACGGCCCACCAAGGCGACGAUCAGUAGCCGGACUGAGAGGUUGAACGGCCACAUUGGGACUGAGAUACGGCCCAGACUCCUACGGGAGGCAGCAGUGGGGAAUAUUGGGCAAUAGGCGCAAGCCUGACCCAGCAACGCCGCGUGAAGGAAGAAGGCUUUCGGGUUGUAAACUUCUUUUAAGAGGGAAGGGCAGAAGACGGUACCUCUAGAAUAAGCCACGGCUAACUACGUGCCAGCAGCCGCGGUAAUACGUAGGUGGCAAGCGUUGUCCGGAUUUACUGGGUGUAAAGGGCGUGCAGCCGGGUCUGCAAGUCAGAUGUGAAAUCCAUGGGCUCAACCCAUGAACUGCAUUUGAAACUGUAGAUCUUGAGUGUCGGAGGGGCAAUCGGAAUUCCUAGUGUAGCGGUGAAAUGCGUAGAUAUUAGGAGGAACACCAGUGGCGAAGGCGGAUUGCUGGACGAUAA